UUCUUGGAUUGCCCUACAGAGAGGAAUCUGGGGCAAGACAGUGUAAAGAGGAAGCUAAGCGCUUUUCUCCACAAAUGCCUGUUUUCAGCCCAUUCACAUUCCCCCUAAAGACACAGAAUCCCUUGAAGUGUCAUUAACUCUUCAGUGACAAUUCAGUUGAUAUAUGCCGAAAUAUUUCACAACCUGUUAAUGAAAACUCCCAGGAACAUUGUUAAUGGAUGACUGUGUGAUCUGGAAGGUAGUCUCUGGUUUUAAUAAUUCAGACUAGGAUUGUAUGUCUUGCUGAGAUACACCUGCAGACACUCCAUCUUCAGUGACUAGGAGCUUUAUUCUCUCUUCCCUUGACUUUUCCAUCCCUAUGGCUGCUACAGCAAUGCUGCUACCUAGGUAAGUUCCAGGAGGAGAGUUUUCUGACAAGAUAAUCCUUCUGUAAAUGGCCCUGUGGGUCAGAGCAGUCCAGCUGGUAAAUAUUGCAGGCAUGAUGUGUAUUGUUUGUAUUCAAACAGGGUACAGGAUAUUCUCUUUGCCAAUAAUAACGUCACCUCAGGGGAAAUUUCUUCAUCAGUCAGUCAUAUUUCUGAUAUAUGGAAAAAGCGUUUAUGUACUCUUACAAUAAGCUAUCUUUGGAGUGGAAUGAGUUUUUCACCUGCUCCAAGAAACUAGGAGAAAGUAUCACCCACUCCCAAGGCAGGAACAUCUCCCCACUCCUCUGCUCAUGAGCAGGAAUGUGGAGCCACUGGGGCUCUGCAUCUCUGCAACAAUCAUGCCCGUUGCACAGAGCAUCCCCUCUGCAUCUCUGAAGGCUGAACUCCUGUCCGCGCCUUUGGGGACCAGACUUUCUGGAAGGACAGUGGGGGACACAGAAGGUGUGAAAAGAGAUAUGUUUUAUUGCAAGGCAGUCAGGGAGAUGUGGCCUAGACACUGAUUAUUUUUCAUCUCAUAAUUUAUAAACACAGCAAUCAAAAUACAGAGUUUAAUAGUAAAAUGGUUUUAAUGGUCCUGGAGGAUGUAGUCCCCAUCCUCAUUUAACAGGGUGGAAAAAAAUUAUGUAAGUAAUAAUAGAAUAUUUCCCUAAGCACGCUUAUGUUUAGGACUCUCUUCUUAGGGUCCUGUCCCCUUCUCCUGUAUGUACCCCACAAGCUAUUAGCAGGAGAAAUCGGUCAGACCCCACUGUGGUGCAAUUUUCACUAUCACCACCAGAGAGCGGGGCUUCCUUCAGAUGUGGUUCCUCAUUGUAUUCAGGAGCUGGUUUCACUUGCUUGCUUUGUAGCCACAAGACAGGAUAUUGCUGGAGUACAGAAACGGGCUCUCAGUUUCUGAGUGAGGAGCUUCUGUAACAUCCAGAUGGAGACUAGAUUUGUUAGACUGGUGUAUUCCCGGGAACAAGGAUCGUUUUCUUUUGCGAACAUGCAUUCUGCCAUUCACUCAGUUCUUCUGAUCAUCUUAAUAUUCAGAGGAACCAAUGGUGACUCAGUGAACCAGACAGAAGGCCCAGUGACUGUCUCAGAGGGGGCUCUCAUGACCCUGAACUGCACUUACCAGACUACUGAUUUGGCUCUUUAUCUUUUCUGGUAUAUCCAGCAUCUCAACAAAGCUCCUCAACUCCUCCUGAAGGGCUCGAUGUCAGACCAGAACCCAAAGAGUAAAGGUUUUCAGGCCACUCUUGUUAAGCGUGACAGCUCCUUCCACCUGCAGAAACGGGCAGUGCAAGCAUCAGACUGUGCUGUGUACCACUGUGCUCUGAGUGACACAGUGAGAGAGGGCUGCAGGGGAGCUGAACACAAACCUGGAGUGCAGAUGGGGCUCUGGCUGUGGGCAGCCCUGCAGGGGGGUUGUUGUUUCUGUCUUCAGUGUUUUAUGCUAGCUGUGUUGUUGUUUAUGUACUAAGUCAUGUCUGACUCUUUUGCGACCCUAUGACUGUAGUGGGCUCUGCUGUCCAUGGGAUUUCCCGGGCAAGAAGACUGGAGUGGGUUGCCAUUUCUUUCCCUUUGGAAUUAUCCUGACCCAGGAAUGGUACCCGUGUCUCCUGUUUGGUAGGCAGAUUCUUUACCACUGAGCCACCGGAGAGGCCCCUGUUUUAUGACAGAGACAUUUUCAAAGUACUUCCAACUCUGAAGCUCAGUGCCAAGAAUCCUGCAAUUCUUGGAUUGGUCUACAGAGAGGAAUCUGGGAGGGACAGUGAAGAGAGGAAUCUAAAAGGCCUUCUCCAGAAAUGCCUGUUUUUAGCCCAGUCACAUUUCUCCAGAUGGCAUAGAAUUCCUGGAAGUGACAUUAACUCUGUUCAAUGACAGUUCAGUUGAUAUAUGCUGAAAUAUGUUACAACCUGUUGAUGAAAACUCCCAGGGCACCUCGUUCAUGGAUGAACGUAUGACCUUGAAGUUCCUGUCUGAUUUCUAUAAUUCAUACCACAAUUUUGUGUCUUGCUGAGUUUCACUUGCAGACAGUCCAUCUUUAGUGACUGGGACCUUUACACUCUCUUCCCUUGACUUUUCCAAUUCUUAUGGUUGCUCAAGAAAUGCUGCUGCUGUGAGUCCCAUGAAGAUGGUUUCCUGAGAAGAUAUUCCUUCUCUCAAGGACCCUGGGGGUCAGAGCAGUCUAGUCAGUGAACCUUUUGCGCAUGAGGUGUCUUGCUUCUAUGUUGGUGACACAGCUCCACCCUCAUCUUGUCAUCAUGGCAGCUCUUUACAGAAUGCUAGGUCAUGAUCGCGACUCUGGUCUUGAGGAUCUGUGCUGUGAGAAAUUCUGGACAUAAACGUGACCAUGUAACCUGACAUAUUAUCUUUAUCACUGUACUGAGGCCUCUGAUCCUUUUGAAGUGUGUCAAAUUCAGUGACCAAGCAAACACUCAGUCCGUUAGUGAAAAGAGGGAUUCUAAAUUCUUGACAUAUUCACAAUGUUCCCACAUCAGAGGAGCAGAAAACAGAGAAAUGUGUGCCUCUCACUGUAACUUGCAAUGAAUGAAACUCACCAAGAGAAAUUCAUCCUGGCAUUCUGGAGGUUUCUGAACCUCACCGUCCUUUAUCCCUCUUGGAUGAUUCUGUGGUACUGACAGGUACAGAUGAAGGUUUUGCAGAGCCUGAGCCUUCUGUGAUUUCAGAGGCUCUUCUUAAGAAAAAGAAAAUGCAAUUGCAGAAUCAAGUUUCUUGGGCUCAGGACACUAUGGGAUCCUGAAAUAUAAGCUGAAUUUGCUUCAUGGUAGAUGACACCAUCCUUAUGGCAGAAAGUGAAGAGGAACUAAAAAGCCUCUUGAUGAAGGUGAAAGAGGAGAGUGAAAAAGUUGGCUUAAAACUCAACAUU